rnacentral:misc_RNA from 1 species
AGCAGCCGCGGUAAUUCCAGCUCCAAUAGCGUAUAUUAAAGUUGUUGCAGUUAAAAAGCUCGUAGUUGAAUUUCGGGAUCAAGGAAUCGGUCAUGCCUCGGUAUGUACUGGUUUUAUUGGUUCUCACCUUCUAAAGAACCAUGAUGUCAUUCAUUUGAUGUUAUGGGGAAUUAGGACUGUUACCUUGAAAAAAUUUAGAGUGUUUAAAGCAGGCUUACGCUUGAAUACAUUAGCAUGGAAUAAUGAAAUAGGACAUCAGAUUCUAUUUUGUUGGUUUCUAGGAUCGAUGUAAUGAUUAAUAGGGAUAGUUGGGGGCAUUAGUAUUCAAUUGUCAGAGGUGAAAUUCUUGGAUUUAUUGAAGACUAACUACUGCGAAAGCAUUUGCCAAGGAUGUUUUCAUUAAUCAAGAACGAAAGUUAGGGGAUCGAAGACGAUCAGAUACCGUCGUAGUCUUAACCAUAAACUAUGCCGACUAGGGAUCGGAUGAUGUUUAUUUUUUAGUGACUCAUUUCGGCACCUU